rfam:Auraticoccus monumenti strain MON 2.2 genome assembly, chromosome: I
GACCCUGCUCCAUUCACUACGGAUCGUCGGGCACGUACCGCCCGUGAAAGGAAGGC